rnacentral:rRNA from 1 species
AACGAAGGAUGCAAGCGUUAUCCGGAUUCAUUGGGUUUAAAGGGAGCGUAGGUGGCCUUAUAAGUCAGUGGUGAAAUCUUCGAGCUUAACUCGGAAAUUGCCAUUGAUACUGUAGGGCUUGAGUAUAGCUGCCGUUGGCGGAAUAUGACAUGUAGUGGUGAAAUACAUAGAGAUGUCAUAGAACACCGAUUGCGAAGGCAGCUGACGAAACUAUAACUGACACUGAGGCUCGAAAGUGCGGGGAUCAAACAGG